UAUUGAGGUGAUGAUCUUAUUUUUUCUGAAUCUAUGCUUGUAGACUUCAAAAUUCAGACUACAAUUAUCUGAUCAAUG